GUUGAAUUCAGCAAAUCAAGUGGUCUGUGAUAAAAAAACAAAACAAACAAACAAACAAAAUAACAUCGGUUUUGAGGACCCGAAGCCACAGAAUAAGGGGGCACAUGGCAUUUACACCCUAACUCUGUAGGACAAAAGAAUCAUGCUUAAACCAACUCAUGCAUUCUUGAAAAAGUAUCUGCAACCUAAGCAUGUGGAAAAUUUUCUACUGUCUCAUAUAUUAACUUGAGAAAGUUUCCAUUUUCAUUUUUAACCAACACUCCAGAGCAGAGGUACCUGAUAUUUACCUCCUGAGGGGUUCCUAAUCUCAGUCUCUGUCGGGCAAUGGCCUGAAAGCCAGCAUCUGAAGACACAGAAUUUAAAGGAAUCCAGUAGCAAGACAAACAAUUAGAAUAAUAAUCAUUAAUAACCCAAUGUAGGGAUAAUACAGAA
rnacentral:lncRNA from 1 species